rnacentral:ncRNA from 1 species
AAAAAAGUAAUGACAGGGAAUUAGUAAAUAGAAAUCAGGUAAAAGAGAGUAGGAUUCACGGGCUGAAAAAUCUUACAUCCUGCAAAGCUAUUGAACCUAUCCCUAGAGCUGUCAGGCAAACCUGAUCGUUUUCCUUCGUUAAGGGAGUAUGAAAGCGGGCACGUGGAUUCUAUGUGCCAAUGAAGGUGGUACCGCGAAAGACUAAGUUCUUCCGUCCUUUUU